rnacentral:tRNA from 1 species
CUUAGCUCAGCGGUUAGAGCAGCGGACUCAUAAUCCGUUGGUCCUGGGUUCAAAUCCCCG